CUACAUACAAACUGUCAUGCGGUAACACUUCCGGGUUCGGCACUGCGCUGAGCGGAGCCGGACCCCGCCCCCCUCUGACGCGGCUCUAACGGUAUUUAGGGAGACCGCGCCAGAGAGAGGGUGCUGGGUGAUACUGGGAGCUACUUUCGCCAGACUUACCUCUCCACAGGGUCUGGCAAUGUGGGUCCGACUUCCGAGUGUACACGCCAGCUCCUGAGACGCCGGCUCUUCAAGCUCUGAUGUUGUCUUAGCCAUUGCUUCAUGUUAUAGAGGAAUGCUGGAGAACGGAAACUCACUUUACAAGUGGACCUUAUCUCUUUACUAUUGGAGGACUACUAACCUUAAGUAUACCUCACAUCUAAU